UACGUAGGGUGCAAGCGUUGUCCGGAAUUAUUGGGCGUAAAGAGCUUGUAGGCGGUUUGUCGCGUCUGCUGUGAAAUUUCGGGGCUCAACCCCGAACUUGCAGUGGGUACGGGCAGACUAGAGUGUGGUAGGGGAGAUCGGAAUUCCUGGUGUAGCGGUGAAAUGCGCAGAUAUCAGGAGGAACACCGAUGGCGAAGGCAGGUCUCUGGGCCAUAACUGACGCUGAGAAGCGAAAGCAUGGGGAGCGAACGGG
rnacentral:rRNA from 1 species